AGAACGAACGCUGGCGGCAGGCUUAACACAUGCAAGUCGAGCGCGUAGCAAUACGAGCGGCAGACGGGUGAGUAACGCGUGGGAAUCUACCCAACCCUACGGAAUAACGCAUGGAAACGUGUGCUAAUACCGUAUACGCCCUACGGGGGAAAGAUUUAUCGGGGGUAUGAUGAGCCCGCGUUGGAUUAGCUAGUUGGUGGGUAAAGGCCUACCAAGGCGACGAUCCAUAGCUGGUCUGAGAGGAUGAUCAGCCACAUUGGGACUGAGACACGGCCCAAACUCCUACGGGAGGCAGCAGUGGGGAAUAUUGGACAAUGGGCGCAAGCCUGAUCCAGCCAUGCCGCGUGAGUGAUGAAGGUCUUAGGAUUGUAAAGCUCUUUCACCGAUGAAGAUAAUGACGGUAGUCGGAGAAGAAGCCCCGGCUAACUUCGUG
rnacentral:rRNA from 1 species